CGGAACCGGCUCCGCGCCCCGGCACUGCCCCGGCGCUGCCCCGGCGCCGGGACGGCGACCGAGACUGCGACUGAUUCUGGGAUCGGCACCGGGCCCGGCAGCGGGACUGGGAAUGGGACUGGCACUGAUACCGAGACAGGCAUCAGCACCGCCACGGGGAUGGGAACUGGGAUCGGGAUCGGCACUGGGACUGGGACCGAUUCCGGGACUGGCACCGACACGAGGACAGGGACCGGCAGCGGAACUGGGAACGGAACCGGCACCGAGACCGGCACUGGAACCGAAACCGGAAGCGGCGCCAGGACUCGGACGUGGACAGGGACUGGGACCAGCACCGGCACCGAGACUGGGAGAGGAACUGCGAGCAAGAUCAGUGCUGGGAUUGGUACCGGGUCGGGGAUAGGAACCAGGACUGGCAAGGUCACAGGGGCCAGCACCAGGACUGGAGCCGCCCUGCCCAGCGCAGCCCACUCUCGCAGCCCCCUGCCCGGUGCCUUCCCCAUUCCCAUCCCCUUGAAGCAGCCGGUCCCAGGGGCUCUUCCCGCCCGGGAAGCCCGAGGAAGGGGCGAGUGCGGCUCCAGGGGAGCCCUGGGUGGGGCCUGAAGGAAACUCUUCUUGGAGCAGUGCUGGGAGCGGGGCAGAGAGGAUCUCCUGCCCUUGGAGGAGCCGUUGGGAAAAUUAUGAAGGUCCCAAGGGAGCCCUGAAGGGGACCUGUGGGGAGCACUAGGACCAACCCUGAGGGGCCAAGGGGCUCGUGGGUGCUCAGGCAGCCCCAGGGGGGGCCAAAGGAUGCUUGCUCCCUUGUAGCCAUCUCUGGGGCAGGCUGUGGUAUGUCCAGCCUGUGGAGCUGGAAACACUUGAAGAAGGAUCUCAGACCUGCAGGACCUGUUAUGGGAGAGAUGUUUCAAGCCCCUGUACUUGUUUCUGUCCUCUUGAUGUGUGUGUGAACAUUCUAGGGGUUUCAGCUGAAUCCUCACUCAUUUGGUGGGGUCCAUGGAUGCUUGGGUUGCUUGAGGCAGCAGACUUGGCUCCCUUGUCAUGGGCUGGGGCUGUUGGGCUUCACCUGCUCUGCAGAGCACUGGAGAGGGCUGGCAGGACCUUGGGAUCUUCCAGGCAGGGCGAGUGCCUGUCCUGCUCCUGGCAGGCGUUUGCCUGAGCUGUUCCUCCCCGGCACACCCAGUGCUGAGCUCCGGAUAUUACCGAGCACAUCCCUGACACCCCGCAUCCAGGAGUGCUCCCGAGUCUUGGUCUGGCAGAUCAGGUACCUCCCUUCCUUUUUGCAGGAUUGUUUCACAGUUGCAUCACAGCUGCAUACUUUUCUGUGCCCAUGUCUCUUCUCCCUGCCCUCAUCCCUUCUCUGUGCCCACGUCCUCUCUCUGUGAGCAUGUUCCUUCUCCAUGCCCACCUCUCCAACCCCGUUUCCUGUGGCUGCCGGAGGAUGACUCCGGGCUGAUGCAGAGCUGUCCAAAUCCAGCUCCUCAGUGACAUCUUGUGCUGGGAAUGCUCAGCGCAGGCAGGAGAUGGGAAAAUUAGUUCCUGCAAUUGUUUUUUCCUGCCCUCCCCAACACUGACAUUGCUGUAACCGGCAGUGAAACCACGGGGACUCCCUGAGCUCAUUUGUAAGGUUUUCCUUGGGAACAUCUUGUCCUUCCACGGAGACAGCCAGGCAGUGGCAUUGCCUCUGACAGAACUGUGUACAAAGCUCUGGCAAAGCAUCCACUUCCUUCAAAACAUUCCCUGUGCUAACUCUUUUGUGCCAUUUAGAGAUAAUAAUAAUUCACCCAAAGUUCCUCGCCGUGAUGAGACUGCACACACGAAUUCUUGGGAUGCGGUUCAAACCAUGUUUCUCUGCCAAUUGCCACAGAGAGAAUUCCCUUCAAAGGCUCUAAUGGCACCAAUCACCCCUGGGAAACACUCGCCUUGUCUUAGCAGGGAAAGCUUCCAAGUGCUGCCUGCUGUGCCAGCAGAGCUGCAGCCCUGCAGCAUCCAGCUGGGUGCAAAACCAGGUCUGAGUUUCUGAAGAAACUUUAAUCUCAGACCCAAACUCAGAGAUGAAAUGUUAAAAAGCCACUUUUGAUGGAAGUGAAAUCUGAUGAGGUUUCUCUCAGGAUGGUAGUACCUGAAGCACAGAAAAUCCCUGAGCUGGCAGCCCUGCCAGUGGCAGGGAGACCAACAAGGGAUGCUCCAAGCUGCCGUGGGGACUGUACCAAGCCCUCGUGGAUCACUGUGGCCUUGCAGAGUGCUGAUCCCCCAGCUCCCAAUCUCCCUUGGGUGUGACAUUAUGCCCUUGAGGCCACUGUCCCUGUUCCCACCAAGCCCAGGCAGGGGCUGCUGGCACAGAGGGGCUGGUCCCUGCUCACGGUGGCUGCAGCUGGCAUGGGAAGCUCAGUCCAGCCCGUGGCUGGAACGCACAUCACGGACACAGACAUGCUGCUAUAUCCCACACGGGGAGCACGGCCAGGGCUGGAUAACACAUGGCCAAGUCCUUCCUCGGGCACUCUCGGGCACUGCAGUAGCAAUGGAAAUAAAUCCAGGAGAAGCUGUUAUGGAUGCUUGAGAAGCUGUAAAAUGUGAAGAAACAUUUGAAUGUGAGACAAAGAGGUGAGAAGGGAAUUUGGCACAGGAGGAGAUGUAGUUUAGAAGGAGAGGCCAUGCCAUGCAUAUUUCAUGGGCCAGCCCUCAGCAGAGGCUCCUCUCACACCACAAACAUCACAGAUGGCAAGCAGUAACAGCAGCUGCUCCCAGCAUCUGGGAAGGAGAACGGUGAGAUGAUUGCUCCUCCUGCCUUGUGGUAGAAGUGGGCCAAGGACACAGGACCUGGAAGCUGCUGGCUCUGCUCCCCAGGUGUGGGACCAGCCUUCCUCACCCUCCUCUUCCUCCAGCCCAGUGCCAGGCUAGGGGGAAGCCUGCCCCAUCCUUGGUGCUGGGGCUCUGUCCUCACUGUCCCACAGCUCUGUGAGCCCUCCAGCCCUGCUGCCCCAGCACUCGGUGCUUCCAGCAUUGCUCCUCUGAGGUUUCCUUGGAAAGUGCUGAUCAGGUCCUCCUCUGUCAGGUGUUUCUCACUGACCAUAUGCCUGACUUGUGCCCAGCACCUGCGCUACCAAAUCACUCCCACCGCAGGCCAGCAUGCAGGAGGGACAUCUGCACCCUGUGGGAGCAGGGUGGAUCCUCAGCUGGCAUCUGGCCCUGCCAUAGGUGCCCCUUGGAGCAGCAGGUGCUGGGGUGGCAGGAGCUGGGUGGGUCAGAGUCUGAUGUGGAUCCACUAGCAAAACCCAGGAGAAGGUGGACUUCAGGACAGUGCUUCCCAAAUUGUAGCCAUGUGUGGGUUCUCAUCUUGUUAUUUUUCUUCACAAGAGGCUUCAUCUCCCUCUGUGCAACUCUUCAGGGAGAACUCCAGAUCUACUACUGCCUACUCUGAGGGGAUAAACCCUUUGGGGUGCACAGGAGCUCCCAGCCUCAGGAUGGGGUGUGUUUGGAUAACGAGUGGGUUCUCUUUGACUCCGCCCAAGCACCCUGUCUGCCUCGGUGUCAUCCUCCUGGGGGUGAAUCUGAUUUGUGCCACAUAUGGACCACAAUGUGGCAGCAGCAUGGAGGAACCAGCCUUCCUUCUCACAGCUGGAGAACCAGGGAACUGCGUCCUUCCCCUUGCAGAGGUGCUGCAGAGGCUGCAGGAGGUUCAGCUGCUCCAGCAGGAUUGGGGUGAUCCCUAUCCAGGUGUGGCACAGGCAGGUGAGGCUGCAGCACUUGGUGUCCUGCCUCCAUGAGAGCAGAGUUUGGGAACUUGCUGGUCACCUGGGGAGUCACAGGGUGGGAGCUCCAGUUCCUGGGGCGUUCCUUUGGCCUGGGGGCUCUGGAGAGAGCAGCUGAGAGCUGCCACAGACCCUGCAGAGGAAAGAGAUGCCGGGUAGCUCCUCUUGCAGCUGAUCUCCUGGCCAGCCCAGGAGAUGUUGGUGUCCCAGCAUGGCUGGGAUUUUGAAAGUUGGACUGUGUUCUGAUCCUUGGCAUUUUCCAUUUGCAUCCCAAUGAUUUUUGGUGAAUCACGUGCAGCCUAAGAAAUAAAUGUCUUCUUGAUUCUUCCUGUGAGCUCCUGGAUGCAGCUCAGCAGCCAAUAGAAAAUAUCCAGGUGAAUUCCUGCCUCCAUAAAGGUCAAUGCUAUUAAAAACCAAAUUGCCUCUGAAAGGGAAUCUAGGAAAUAUCCAAGGCAGGGAAAGGCACAUCAGACUUACCACACCAGUUAAUUGUUUCUUUGCAGAGAGUCCUUCUCUUUUUCCAUCCACUGGCAGAAGGGAGUCAUGUGAGAUGUCUACAAGUGUGCUUGGGGGAAAAGGAACACCGGUGAAGACCUGAAACAAUUUUGCUGCUCUUACAGCUGAGAAAGAAUCAUGCUGGAAGGUUUCUGUGGAAGUGGGGCCUGGGGAAUGGACAUGAAAAGCCUUUUUUCCCAGCUGACUCUCUUGGUGGGUGAGUUGUAUACAGAGCCUGGAUGCCAGAGGGCCUGGAAGGGAGCCAGCUCUAUUUUAACCCUUUGUAAAUGAUUUAAACACCUCGUGCUGGGGGAACAUUCCCAGGAAAGGGGAUGCUUGGCUCUUCUUCCUGGGCAGACCAGGGGUGUGCAGGAGAUGGUGGGAGGUAGAAGGAGCCAGUCCUGGUAGGGACAGCAGGAGUGUGUGGUGAGGAUGGCUGUGCCCCUCCUGUCCCCCAGGAGCUGCUGCUGAGACCUGAACCAGCUGCUCCUAGUCCAGCUGGCCAGAGGCAUCCUCCCAAACCCCUCCCAGGUGAUGUUCCUAAGGAGCCUCUCUAUUUUUUGCAGCCUUUUCCUGCCAGGAGCAUCCCCUGGGAAGGCCAACGUAGCCAAAGGUCCCGGGUGCCCUGUGGGAUCCUGGCGAGGUGGGGACAUGGGGCAGAGCUCCCUGCAGCAUCUUGGGGGCAAGAACACAUCAUGGGACUGGGGACAAGCUCCUGAGGCUGGAGCAGGGCAACUCCAACCCCCCUUACCCCUGAGGAGCUGGCUGAUCCUUAUUGAUUAAUCUGGUGGCUCAUUUCUCUAAAAAUAGGCUCUUAAUUACUGAGCCUCUGGAAACAGAGUUGUCUCACAGCAAAACCUGAUUGAUCGGAGGGCAGCUGUGGCUCUGGUGAGGGCCUGUUGGCCACAGAGCCUGGAUGGCCCCUGCCAGAGACAGGUCCUGGCCAGAGGAGGUUUCAGGCUGGUUCAGGUUGAUUCCCAGCUCACAGCUGAUGGAUAUUUGUUUUUUUUCCAAGUGUGACUUGUUUUUGCUUCUUAACUUUCUGUGUAAUUGCAAGCAUGUGGCACUGAGAGGCACUUGGACUUCUCUUCUGGUGGAAGUAAAUGGGAGGAAAAAUGUUCAUUUUUCCCUAGUGCUCCUGAACUGUGUGUAGAAAAGGGAAAAACUGUUCUGCUUUUUUUCUUUUUUUUUUUUCUUUUUUUUUUUUUUUUUUUUUUUUUUGGUGUUGUUUUCCACCUUCUUCCUUUGCAUGGACAAAUACUUUAUGGGAACUUUCCUGCUUUUCCCUUAUUCACCUGUCCCAGAGAAGGUGUGCAAGAUCCCAAAAAGGCUGAAAAGAGGAAAAAAAAAAAAAAAAGAAAAUAGAGUUUAAAAUAGAUUUAUUUUCUGGGGCUGUUUCAUGUCUCUGAGUUUGGGUUCUUGCGUCAGGAGUGUAUUGUCAUGUCCUGGAGAUGGAGAGGGAGUAUUCCAGAGCCCUGGGGUCCCCCACCCUCCACAAGCACCACAACCUCUGUGCAGCUGAGUCAAAUUAAGGAGAAAAAGGGAAGAGUGGCUGCAGUAGCUGGCUACCAGCACUGGCCCUGCCUCCCUCCCUGGCCAGUGUGAAGGCCAUCUGUCGCCUGACAGAUCAGCUGGACUCUGCUCUCCAUGUCCAUCUGCUCCUGUGCAGGUUCCCUGUCUGCUGUAUCUCCCUCCUGCUCCAUGGCCCCUGUGGGCUCUGUCCUGUGAUCCGAGCCAGUCCCUGCCCCAGAGCUGGGAUGGGCUGUCACCAGAUGACACAAGCAAAAACGACGCAGCACAGCCUUGGUCACGAUGAAGAGACUAAUUUAUUUUCUCUGACUCCAAUCUUUUAUAGUUCUCAAAAGAUGCCAGUGCAUUGGAGGGUGAACGUGCCACCUCUCCAACGACACUGGACAAACUACCUGUACAUCAAAUUUCUCCGCCUCUAUGAAAGAAUGCAAAACAAUAGAUUGUUUACAGAAAGUUGUGUGGGAAAGUUCUCUACAAGAAUGUAAACUCAGAAGGCUUUAGAAAACUCUUGAAAAUCAGGGCGACAAUGGGCACCACGGGAUUCUCCGAGAGCCCUGAACAUCCAAACCCACAGGUCCUUGCUUACUGCAUGGGCUGUAGAUCCUUGCUGACCUACUCAUAGGUUUUUUUUACCCUUUAUAUUUUAUUUUUUUCAAGGCUGAAUCUUUCACUCUGGUGGUUGUGUGGCUUCAUUUUGCUCAUUCAAAGUUUCUUCCAGUUGAAGUUUUAUGGGUAAUCUUUUAAUUCUUUGCCCAAGGAAGUAUCAAAGGGAGCAUCCCUCCUCAGAGGGAUUCAAGCCAUGGCACCCACAGGGGAGGCUCACCUUUCUGAGCCCCAUUCCUGCUGUCCCACAGCUGUGACAGCCACCCUAGAACAGGGGAGAACACAGGACAGAGCUCCUCCAGAGCUCUGGAGGAUGCUCCACCAGGGACAGCCAGGGGACACUGGGCCUGGGACAGCAGUGCUGGCAGCUGUCACCAGAACUCACACCUUGACUCUGUGAGAGCUCCAAUAAUGUUUCACCAUCACCAGCCAAAUUUCCCCAGAUUUUCUGGGGAUAGGAGAAGGCAACACUCCCAAGUCCCUGCUCCUCAAGCUGGCAACAUGACAGCUUUCCACUGGAAUGACAGAAUUUUUUUUUCUUAAUGCAGGCCAAAGUAAUUUUCUCUCAUUAGAGCUGCUGAUACAGAUGGAAAAAGUUAGCUCUCUCUCCAAAGCUUCGUCUGCCAGUGAGGGGCAGCAUCCCCCAGGAAGAUCUUGGGGUGUUUGGCUGCUCCAGCUUCUCGUCCCUCUGGCUGUGGCUCUUUGCACUGGAACUUGGAAAGAAAAAAUAUUCUGGGAUGGAAAAUUUCAAGCCUAAAGGGUAAAGUUGGACAAAAUCCAAUCCAGCUAUGACUAUUUCAGAAGCAGAUGCUGCAUCCCAUGGGCAUGGGUGUCCCAUCAACCCACCCCACUCCCAGAGGUGGCCCAGAGGCUUUGAUCCUCUGGCUGCUUGUCCACAGCAGACACUGCACAUCUGUGGUAGCACCAGAACACCCUGACACAGCCCAGAUAAAUCACCUGAUGGAAAUGAGGAGCUGGGAUCUUGUGGAAGCUCUGGUUACUGGAAACCAAAAGGAGAGAGGAACUCAGUAUCUGUGCUGCCUCUGGGGUGCAUGUAAGGGUGCUUUGAACGAGGGACGUGCUAGAGACUGCUGUGACUCCUUCUCCCUCCUGUGACCUCUUCCACUCAGGUCUUGCCAGAGUGUGCCAACCCAUCCCUGCAAGGUUGGAGGAGCUCUGCAGAAGGACCUUCAUGGGCUGUGCUGAGUCCUGGGCUCCUCUGCACCAGGAAGGACCCCAUGGCACUCCUUGGGGGCACCAUGAGUCACUGAGAAAAUCCCCAGGUGCUGAGGCCAAAGACCUCAAAAUUCACCUGUGAAGAAAUAAGAUUAGAUCUGACUCAUUCCAAGGGUUUAAACCAUUUUUCUAUUACUAAAAAGAUGUCUUUAUGCUCUAGGUAUUAAAAAAAAAAAAAAAAAAAAAACCAAAAACAAAAAAAAAAAACCAAAAACAAAACCAAAAAAAAACAAAGACAGCAAAUCCAAGGUAAAAAAUCCAAUUUGAAGAUGAGAGAUGAAUCUGCUUUGCCAUAAAUUUGGAGAAGUCAUCACCAAAUUUGAUGUGGGGUUGCUGUCCUCUCCUUCCCUCCAGGGAGCACUGUGGCAUCUCCUUUCCCCUGGAUUUUGGAGAGAACAGAUUUGUGUUUCCUACCCAGAAACAGAAAUAAAGCUCCAAAAAACUGUC